GCGUGCGGGCGAUACGGGCAGACUUGAGUACUGCAGGGGAGACUGGAAUUCCUGGUGUAGCGGUGGAAUACGCAGAUAUCAGGAGGAACACCGGUGGCGAAGGCGGGUCUCUGGGCAGUAACUGACGCUGAGGAGCGAAAGCGUGGGGAGCGAACAGGAUUGGAUACCCUGGUAGUCCACGCCGUAAACGGUGGGUACUAGGUGUGGGUUUCCUUCCUUGGGAUCCGUGCCGUAGCUAACGCAUUAAGUACCCCGCCUGGGGAGUACGGCCGCAAGGCUAAAACUCAAAGAAAUUGACGGGGGCCCGCACAAGCGGCGGAGCAUGUGGAUUAAUUCGAUGCAACGCGAAGAACCUUACCUGGGUUUGACAUGCACAGGACGCCGGCAGAGAUGUCGGUUCCCUUGUGGCCUGUGUGCAGGUGGUGCAUGGCUGUCGUCAGCUCGUGUCGUGAGAUGUUGGGUUAAGUCCCGCAACGAGCGCAACCCUUGUCUCAUGUUGCCAGCGGGUAAUGCCGGGGACUCGUGAGAGACUGCCGGGGUCAACUCGGAGGAAGGUGGGGAUGACGUCAAGUCAUCAUGCCCCUUAUGUCCAGGGCUUCACACAUGCUACAAUGGCCGGUACAAAGGGCUGCGAUGCCGCGAGGUUAAGCGAAUCCUUUUAAAGCCGGUCUCAGUUCGGAUCGGGGUCUGCAA
rnacentral:rRNA from 1 species